GGRAAACUCYURWUCCAGCAAUGCCGCGUGUGCGAAGAAGGYCUUCGGRUUGUAAAGCACUUUUGUCAGGGAAGAAAUCCUUUGGGCUAAUACCCUAGGGGGAUGACGGUACCUGAAGAAUAAGCACCGGCUAACUACGUGCCAGCAGCCGCGGUAAUA
rnacentral:rRNA from 1 species